rnacentral:rRNA from 1 species
GGAAGGACUCUUGGCAACGGAUAUCUCGGCUCUCACAUCGAUGAAGGAUGUAGUGAAAUUUGAUAUGUGGUGUGAAUUGCAGAAUCCUAUGAACCAUCGAGUCUUUGAACGCAAGUUGCGCCCGAGGCCAUCUGGCCGAGGGCACGCCUACCUGGGCAUCAUGC